GGGCUCAGUGGUAGAGCAUCUGCUUUGCAUGCAGAUGGUUGCAGGUUCAACUCAUGGCAUCU
rnacentral:tRNA from 1 species